rnacentral:rRNA from 1 species
AGAUUGAACGCUGGCGGCAUGCCUAACACAUGCAAGUCGAACGGGAGUAGCAAUACUCUAGUGGCGGACGGGUGAGGAAUACGUAGGAAUUUGCCCUUAAGUGGGGGAUAACCCGGGGAAACCCGGAUUAAUACCGCAUGACCUCGAAAGAGCAAAGUGGGGGAUCGCAAGACCUCACGCUUUUGGAGAAGCCUACGUCGGAUUAGCUAGUUGGUGAGGUAAUGGCUCACCAAGGCGACGAUCCGUAACUGGUCUGAGAGGAUGAUCAGUCACACCGGAACUG